UGGAUCCAGACUUGAUUAUGGCUCAGGAUGAACGCUAGCUACAGGCUUAACACAUGCAAGUCGAGGGGAAACGACAUCGAAAGCUUGCUUUUGAUGGGCGUCGACCGGCGCACGGGUGAGUAACGCGUAUCCAACCUGCCCAUCACUUGGGAAUAACCUUGCGAAAGUAAGACUAAUACCCAAUGACAUCCCACGAAGGCAUCCGAAUGGGAUUAAAGAUUUAUCGGUGAUGGAUGGGGAUGCGUCUGAUUAGCUUGUUGGCGGGGUAACGGCCCACCAAGGCAACGAUCAGUAGGGGUUCUGAGAGGAAGGUCCCCCACAUUGGAACUGAGACACGGUCCAAACUCCUACGGGAGGCAGCAGUGAGGAAUAUUGGUCAAUGGGCGAGAGCCUGAACCAGCCAAGUAGCGUGCAGGAUGACGGCCCUAUGGGUUGUAAACUGCAUUUAUAAGGGAAUAAAGUGAGUCUCGUGAGACUUUUUGCAUGUACCUUAUGAAUAAGGACCGGCUAAUUCCGUGCCAGCAGCCGCGGUAAUACGGAAGGUCCGGGCGUUAUCCGGAUUUAUUGGGUUUAAAGGGAGCGUAGGCCGGAGAUUAAGCGUGUUGUGAAAUGUAGAGGCUCAACCUCUGCACUGCAGCGCGAACUGGUCUUCUUGAGUACGCACAACGUGGGCGGAAUUCGUGGUGUAGCGGUGAAAUGCUUAGAUAUCACGAAGAACUCCGAUUGCGAAGGCAGCUCACGGGAGCGCAACUGACGCUGAAGCUCGAAAGUGCGGGUAUCGAACAGGAUUAGAUACCCUGGUAGUCCGCACGGUAAACGAUGGAUGCCCGCUGUUGGCCUGAAUAGGUCAGCGGCCAAGCGAAAGCAUUAAGCAUCCCACCUGGGGAGUACGCCGGCAACGGUGCAACUCAAAUGAAUUGACGGA
rnacentral:rRNA from 2 species